rnacentral:lncRNA from 1 species
UGUGUGUGUUCUGGUCGUACAAAACACAGGAGCCAAGAAGGGCUCUCAAGCUCAAACCCUAACAAGCAUAAAAUCAACAAAUUGAAGGGGUAAAUCCAACCUAAAUCGAAAUCCAAGCACGAAUUCAUGAUCACCUCGAUGAAGGGAUCAUAAGUUUGACUCUUGACAAGCUAGAUGGAGGCUUGGGGAAAGAAGCGGGUUAAACGGAUCGUAUACACGGAAAAGAGCAUAAUCCGGAUACUAGGAAUAAAUAUCGAUUGAAUGUUGACAUCGCUAUUACUUAGCGGCUACUAAGGCAAGGUAUCGAAACGGGUCAAUAUAUUGAUCCGAGCCAGGUUUGUAUAAUGAUUCAACUCGUCAUGUAGAACUUGAGGUUCUAUAAGUGUUAGACAAGGAUAAAAUAUAGAUAUUCGGUUAUCAUUAAGGUAAACCGAAUAAAUUGGGUCAUGAUUAUGGUAUUUUAGAAAUAUAAUGGUUUCUAAACAAGAUUAUAGUUUUAAAAGUGGGAUUUUGGUCGAACAUGGCUUUAAAGGUCCUUCGUCGUAAUAGGAGGGGUAAAAGUGACCAAAAUGCCCUUAUAAGUGAAAUUAAGCAAACGAUCCCUAAAGGUUGCUUAGAAAUGAGUUUUGUAACCAAAUAGAUACUUGUAUUAAGUAUAAAAAGUGAAAUAUGUGAAUCUUUGGGUCAAAUGACUCUAUAUGAGUCUUUGCCGUAAAAUGAUAAUCCGAUGGGUAAAACUCGGAAUAAAUAGAUCUCCACAUUAAAUCCUCCACACAUAUAGUUGUGGUGGAAGAUAAAUUGAUAAAUAAUAUGGAAGUACAAUGCUAGAAGUGAAUGGGUAUGAAUUAUGCGGUAAAAGUGCUUAAAUACCCUUAACGGGUCAAAAUAAGCUUCUAAGUCAAAACGGGUUAAAGAAGGUAUACAAACCCGUGAUUUUGAGCCUAAUAUAAUAGGAGAUAUUGAAAUUAUGAAGUUCAUGGGUUUAAAGAUCAAAUAGGCAUGUUUGUUUGAUAAAAUCACGAACGGGUCAAAAUUUGGUAAAAAGGGUAAUAAGCCAAAGAUUUAAAAGUCUUAAAUUUUUGUUAAUCCGGAUGUCGGAUUUUAACUCCACGUGAUGGAGAAUUAAAUUACGGAUGCGUAGGAAAAAGAAUUGUGUAAAACGGAUUAAAAACGAGAGAGUUAUGUCCGUUUCGGUAAGAACUAAUGAAAAAUAAACGUGCAGAGUUGACACGGGCGGGUGACUUUUUGACACGGCCGGGUGGCUGGGCUGUGAAAAAUAUAUGUUAAGCUGACACGGCCGGGUGACUUUUUGACACGGCCGGGUGAAGGGGCUGAAAACAAAACAAAAAUAAUUUCUUGUUUUGUUACGUUAAGCAUGGAACUUGUUUAUACUCGAUUAUUAAAGUGUCAAAACUAAUUAUUUACAUGGUUUUGACCGUAGGUGAAGAUGGACCUAAUCCGGAUGAAGAUCAAGCGGCGAGCAAGAACCGAACACAUGUUAAAUGAAGCUUCCGCGUCAAAUCUUGAUUUGUGUUGAUAUAAGUGAAUUAUGUAAACACUUAUAAAUUGUUUUUGAAAUGUUGUAAUCAUUUGGGAAUGUUGGUGUAACAAGUUAAAUAAAGACACAUUUUAGCAUAAAAAUUUGUAUCUUUUAUUAAAAUAUUAAUAAAACCAGACGGGCGUUACAAGUUGGUAAUCAGAGCUCAAGGUUAAAAAGAAUAAAGUGUUCGGUUCGAGGCUUGAUCGCAAAUCCGGUAAGUACAAGUAUGUUAAUGGUUUAGCGUGUUAAAGUGUUGUAAACAACACAUAGGGUUAUCUUGUAAUACACAUUACCCUAAUUAAAAUGAUUGAUAUAGUUGAUGAAAAUACGCGCGUUGACGCAUAUAGUAGAAAAAAAGCCUUGUAUUAUAAUACGGGCGAUUACUGAAGUUGAUAUUAUUAACUCUUGUAAAUGUUUUAGUUGAAGGACACUCGCAUCUAAAUAUAGCGGGAGUCUAACAAAUUGCGGACUUGGCGGAGGAACGGUCCAAAGUACGACAAGUAGAACAUACUCACCAAGGACCUAAAUCACGCAGCGAUCGCGAACAAGGCUAAUGGCAAGAAAAGCCUGUCAGGGCAAGCGUUACCAGUUUGACUCUUGACAAGCUAGAUGGAGGCUUGGGGAAAGAAGCGGGUCAAACAGAUCGUAUACGCGGAAAAGAGCAUAAUCCGGAUACUAGGAAUAAAUAUCGAUUGAAUGUUGACAUCGCUAUUACUUAGCGGCUACUAAGGCAAGGUAUCGAAACGGGUCAAUAUAUUGAUCCGAGCCAGGUGAAGAUGGACCUAAUCCGGAUGAAGAUCAAGCGGCGAGCAAGAACCGAACACAUGUUAAAUGAAGCUUACGCGUCAAAUCUUGAUUUGUGUUGAUAUAAGUGAAUUAUGUAAACACUUAUAAAUUGUUUUUGAAAUGUUGUAAUCAUUUGGGAAUGUUGGUAUAACAAGUUAAAUAAAGACACAUUU